GAAGUUUGUAAAUAGCGGAAGCAAGUGAGACCUUCCACCAAAGCGUUGCAAUGUAUAUUCUCGCUUGCUAGGGAGAAUUCUUUUCAGCAACCUUCCUUGUCCCCCCAACUGGCCAUUCUGCUCCGUUCUGGGUUUUCAACGGAGGGCAGAGCUACGCCAGAUACUGCACACCUGGGUGGAGGAAGAGAGUUCACAGCAUUACAUUUCAAGAGGGGCUUGUUUCCCAAAUCAGCGCAGCUUUGCAGUCCAAGGUAUCCUGCACACCAUUCUCGUUCUUCUAUCCCAGCCUGCCAAGAUGGUUCUGGUAAACAGACAACCUAGUCCAUCCUAUGUAGUGGAGGCUGCCCACCAGCACCAAUCUAUCACUAGGGAUGGAGGAGAAACAGGAUUCAGUUUGCAC